rnacentral:rRNA from 1 species
GCCCGGAGACUACGAGCCCCAGCUUAAAACCCAAAGGACUUGGCGGUGCUUUAGACCCACCUAGAGGAGCCUGUUCUAGAACCGAUAAUCCCCGUUGAACCUCACCCUCUCUUGUUUCUCCCGCCUAUAUACCGCCGUCGUCAGCUCACCCUAUGAAGGCUAUAAAGUGAGCAGAGUUGGCAAUGCCCAAAACGCCAGGUCGAGGUGUAGCGUAUGAGAGGGGAAGAAAUGGGCUACAUUCACUGAACCAGUGGACUACGAAUGACAGACUGAAAUAAUCAUCUGAAGGAGGAUUUAGCAGUAAGGGGAUAAACAGAGUGUUCCCCUGAAACUGGCCCUGAAGCGCGCACACACCGCC